rnacentral:rRNA from 1 species
CAGUAGCCGCGGUAACACAGAGGGUGCGAGCGUUAAUCGGAUUUACUGGGCGUAAAGCGUGCGUAGGCGGCUUUUUAAGUCGGAUGUGAAAUCCCUGAGCUUAACUUAGGAAUUGCAUUCGAUACUGGGAAGCUAGAGUAUGGGAGAGGAUGGUAGAAUUCCAGGUGUAGCGGUGAAAUGCGUAGAGAUCUGGAGGAAUACCGAUGGCGAAGGCAGCCAUCUGGCCUAAUACUGACGCUGAGGUACGAAAGCAUGGGGAGCAAACAGGAUUAGAUACCCCAGUAGUCCCUGUCUCUUAUAC